ACCUACGGGAGGCAGCAGUAGGGAAUCUUCCACAAUGGGCGAAAGCCUGAUGGAGCAACGCCGCGUGGGUGAAGAAGGUCUUCGGAUCGUAAAACCCUGUUGUUAGAGAAGAAAGUGCGUGAGAGUAACUGUUCACGUUUCGACGGUAUCUAACCAGAAAGCCACGGCUAACUACGUGCCAGCAGCCGCAGUAAUACGUAGGUGGCAAGCGUUAUCCGGAUUUAUUGGGCGUAAAGGGAACGCAGGCGGUCUUUUAAGUCUGAUGUGAAAGCCUUCGGCUUAACCGGAGUGGUGCAUUGGAAACU
rnacentral:rRNA from 1 species